rnacentral:rRNA from 1 species
AUGCAAAUUCAAGAGCGUAAUAAGAUAAUUAUUUUUUCCUUCCAGAACAAAGGCCUGUUUGUGCCAGGGACUAACAUAUUUCAUAGUAGACAUGAUUUAUACCUUUUAGGACCAGUACAAUUUUCAUACAAUCAUGAAUCAUGGUUUUAUCUUUUGAAGUCGAUACAUUUUAAUUUAUUGUUUUAUUCCCCUGAAUGUUUACCUAAGCACAUAGCUGCUAUUCACUGUAUCUUUUGUCAGAUGGCUUCUAUCACCCUUGCUAAUCUAUGUUGCGGAAGACAAAAUCAAAUGCUAUGUGUCCGGGUGUCUUGGCUUGGUUUAGUUUUAUUAAUGUCUCACCAAGGGUGA